rnacentral:lncRNA from 1 species
GAAACUUCAACACCAGGCAUACUACUUUCUAAACCAUGCAUAGGAAAGCAUUGUUUUUGUUUCUUUUUUGGGUUUUCUUUCGCUUCAAAUUAAAUUGAACUCAAGCAAAUGAUUUAAUGAAAAAUGAAUGAAUAGAAACCAAGUAUGUGCAAUGUAUUUAUACAGAAGAGGAUAGAGAAAUGGAUGUAAAGGAAAGAUCCUGUGCCUAUGCCGUUGGUCCCAUGCAUCGUCCGAAAAGCACAGAGAUGCCACACCUUUGAACCUUGGGUGGAGAAUCAUUGUUUUCUGGUCUAGGAGGUACUUGAAAGUUGGUUGGUUGUAGGUGAAGAAUCUCUUCAUGUGGCGGAGAAAAAGUUUCCUCAGGGCUCCUAAUGCUUGGAAGGUUUCCCUCAAACCUUCUCUCCCCAGCUGCGGCAUUAGGCAAACCAGUUUUUGGGUCGAUUAUGUGGCGAUCAUUCCAUAUACGGCCUGAUGAACCUUGUCGCCGGAACGAGACAGAUGAUCUUUGCAAUGUUGUCAUUGAUCAGAAUUCUCUCUCUUCUUAAUUUUUCGUUGCUUGCUCUACUCUCUUGGCUAGUUUUAUCUUUUU